UCCUGGGCGCCACCCUGCCUGGUUUGGUGGCAUUAGCAUAAGGAAGUUGCUCCUAUAGGCUUGCAUGAUCUUGAUCACCAUAGGCCAGCUUCCUUUAUAUAAGGCGUAAGCAGGAAAGAGAAGCACUCUCUCACUCUUUCUCUCUCUCACUCACUCUCACUCUCCCACUCUCUCAAUCUCUGUCUCCCUCUCUCCCCUCAUUCUUCCUCUCAUUCACUCCCCCCGGCUGUUGCUUCUUCUCACUCACCUUCUCCCGGCCUUCCGAGCAACAGUAAAGAACUGAAGUGAACCAGGUCUGUGUACGUAUUGCUGUCGUCAUUGCCACAAGGGGCGAACGCGGUAUCUGGUGCCCAAACACAGGAGUUUUUCUCCAACCACCCAGAGGAGAAACUGGCGGACGCGGACGCCAUAGAGCUUCUUACCCUGAAGCAGUACCUGUGGACCCCAUUCGGAAGGAUUGCUCGGGAAGGCGCCUCAGAUGAGAAGGGACCGAAACAAUCCCAUCUGGGUGCCUGAACGCCUGACACGGAGAGUGGCAAGACCAGAACCGGAAGUGCGAGAUGCCGACGCCACUACUCAUCCUGCUCUGAUGCUCAUCCUGCUACUGAUUUUUCAGCAGGCGAUAGCGGAACCCAGAGAACUAUGGGGUCUGGUGAAGGCUUGGCCUAUUCCACUCCCGGUGACUGAAACUGCACAUACCUUUCCUGCCUUUUUCUCUACCUAUAGUACACUUAAUCUCCCAUAUCUGCCUUCUGACAGCUCUAUGUGUUGCUGGCAUUUCUUUUCAUAACCUCUCUAAAGCUGCCAAUCUGUCCAGGGAAUUAGGCAAGAUGUUAUCCACCAAUUGGUCCAGUGAGUUUGACGUGCUCACCACUCAGCUAUGGCUAGAAAUAUUGAAUGUUAGUUCCCAAAAGUUAGAGGCGCUGUCUGUAGCUCAGUUUGCUGAAGCCGUGCUAAAUGCCACCAAAGCCUGGUCAGGCAUGGGUGUUCUGUUCCAUGCAACGGCAACAUCGGAAAGUGCGGAUGGCUCUGGUGCAGGCCAUGGCAGCUAUAGAAGAAGGCAUCUCCCCUAGGGUGUAGCACAAUAUGUUGGACCAGUAGUCAAAGACGGGUAAGAUCAGGAGGUACGCAUACCAACCUAAGACAGGGCGCAGACCUUAGCUGUCUGUUGCCCUAUGACGGGUAAGGAUGCUGCGCCUCCCUGACAACCUAAGACAGGCAUGGUCCCCGAGCCUCAUUGUGUUAAAAAACAAAAAAGGGGGAGAUGUAGGGGCUGGCCUAUGGCCGAGGCUGAGUCCCACUAUGGCUGAACACCGCCCUUCCACUCUAGUUGACCAAUGCCCUAAGAUGGCGCACGCUUCCUGGGCGCCACCCUGCCUGGUUUGGUGGCAUUAGCAUAAGGAAGUUGCUCCUAUAGGCUUGCAUGAUCUUGAUCACCAUAGGCCAGCUUCCUUUAUAUAAGGCGUAAGCAGGAAAGAGAAGCACUCUCUCACUCUUUCUCUCUCUCACUCACUCUCACUCUCCCACUCUCUCAAUCUCUGUCUCCCUCUCUCCCCUCAUUCUUCCUCUCAUUCACUCCCCCCGGCUGUUGCUUCUUCUCACUCACCUUCUCCCGGCCUUCCGAGCAACAAUAAAGAACUGAAGUGAA